GGAGAAGCUACUGCCUACCGCUCGCUCAUCCUGCUCUUGGCUGAGCAUCCCUGGCAGCGCAGGCUAGUUCCACAGCCUAAGCUUCCCGAUUUGAGCAGACGCUGUUCCCUUCUGGAAGGACCACCGGGGCUAGCAACUGGAGGUUGCUCUGCGGAUUUUAGGCACUCAGAGCCGGUUUGAAGGAAGGAGGGACUAGGUUUGGAGAAGAGCCGGCGCCUCUUAAAACUCUUGGUGCCUAAAAUGAGUGAGAUGGUGGCCAAAUAGAGCGGAGGGAGAUUAUCUCAUUUUGAAUAUCCAGGACUUCUGGAUGCGCCAGCGAUGUGUACAGCAACUGUCGAUUUGGCAGCAGACUGGACUCGGUCAAUUGCAAUUCCUUUCCUACUUCAAGCUUACCUCCCCCAGAGCUGUGCUCAGACUGUCCUCACAGCCUCCAGGUGGGAGGGAGCUGAGCGAGAGGGAAUCAAAAGUCAGCUUCCUUUUGCUCUCCGCUGGUGGCAGAUGCGCAGCUGGUUGGUCCUAAGCAGGCCAAAUGUUUGCAAAGAGGAGCAGCUGACGGUGAUAGGCCUGUCACGCCCAUGCACCCGAGCGUUCGUAGACUCCGUCAAGUUCUGGAAACAAGGCUGUACAGGCCCACGGGGGUGUGUGGCUUAUGAAAGAAGGACCCGCUACUACACUGUCUACAGGCAGGUGUAUACCACAGAACACCAGACUGUCUUCAGGUGCUGCCCUGGUUGGAGCCGAUGGGAUGAUGAACCAGGCUGUCUCUCCUCUGUGUCUUCUCUGGGAACCCAUUUCAGUGGAAGGCAGUGCUCAGAUGGUGGUGAUCAUCGGUGCCUCUGCUCACAAGGGUUUCAUGGACCCCACUGUCAAUAUGAUAUAAACGAAUGUGCUGUUGACAAUGGGGGCUGUCAAGACCAGUGCUGCAAUACGAUUGGCAGUUAUUUCUGCAGAUGUCAAGCUGGCCAAAAGCUGGAGGAAGAUGGCAGAGGAUGUGAAGACAUCGAUGAAUGUGCGGUGGUGAAUGGGGGCUGCCAGCAGCGCUGUAUUAACACUCUGGGCACCUUCCACUGUGUGUGUGAUACAGGGUACAGACGCCAUGCUGAUGGACGCACCUGCAUAAAGACAGACCCCUGUGCAGGUGGGAAUGGCUGUGCUCACCUAUGUCAAAUCGAGAAUGGCGUGGCCAGGUGUACCUGUCAUGCUGGGUACCAGCUGUCUGAAGACAAAAAGGCCUGCGAAGACAUAAAUGAGUGUGAUGAAGAACUUGCUCCCUGUGCUCACCGCUGUGUGAAUUCAGAGGGGUCCUUCACUUGUGCCUGCCACCCUGGCUUCGAGCUAGGAGCUGAUGGAAAACAUUGUUACAGAAUUGAAUUAGAAAUUGUAAAUAUCUGUGAAAAGAACAAUGGUGGUUGUUCUCAUCACUGUGAACCUGCAAUUGGUGGACCCCAUUGUUCCUGUAACCAUGGACAUCAGCUCGACACAGAUGAGAAGACAUGUAUAGACUUUGAUGAAUGUGAGAGCGGAGAUGCCUGCUGUGCUCAGCUCUGCAUCAACUAUUCAGGAGGCUACGAGUGCAGCUGUCAGGAAGGCUUUCAGAUCAGUUUGGAUGGUUGUGGAUGUGAUGAUGUGGAUGAGUGCCUGGAUAUCAAUGUGGACUGUGGCCAGCUGUGCAUCAACUCCAUAGGGACAUAUGACUGUGCCUGUGAAGAAGGCUACAGAAUGGGAAGUGAUGGAAGAACCUGUCUCGAUGAUGAACAGCUAGAGGAGGAAGAAGAGGUACUAGACAUCCUGAGGUUUCCAGGCCAUCUGGUUCAAAACCCACCUCAGCCGUUCCCUUAUCUUGAUCCUUCUCUGAUUGCUUCAUAUGAAGAUGAAGACAAUAAUGAAGAAGACCAGGAAGCAGAAGAAGAGUUCCAACAGCUGACAGCCUUGCACAGAGUGGUCUGUUUAGAUGGCACCUUUGGCCUGGACUGCAGCUUGAGCUGUGAGGACUGCAGGAAUGGAGGGAGGUGUCGCGAAGGAACGAGCGGGUGCCUCUGCCCAGAAGGCUGGACCGGCAUUCUUUGCAAUGAAAGCAACACCUUAAGAACUGGUGAGGACCGACAAGCUCCUUUGGGAUGCCUGAAAGGGUUCUUUGGAAAGAACUGCAAAAGAAAAUGUCACUGUGCCAACAAUGGCCAUUGCCACAGGAUAUUUGGAGCCUGUAUAUGUGACCUAGGGCGCUACGGAAGAUUCUGUCAUCUCAGUUGUCCCAGAGGGACGUAUGGAGCUGGCUGUUCUGUGGAAUGUCAGUGUGUGGAGGAGAACACCCUGGAAUGCAGUGCCAAAAAUGGUAGUUGCACCUGCAAAUCUGGUUACCAAGGCAACAGAUGCCAGGAAGCCUGCCCUGAUGGCCUCUGGGGACCAGAAUGCCAGUUUUCCUGUGGACUCUGUGAAAAUGGAGGUCAUUGUAAUGGAAGCUCUGGAAACUGUGACUGUGCUCCUGGUUACACAGGAAAAUCCUGUGCCAUGUUCUGCCCACCAGGCACGUAUGGGAAAGACUGUAACCAGAGAUGUCAGUGUUCAGCAACUGAGGACUGUCAUCCAGUCACCGGAAGAUGUUCCUGUCUGCCUGGCUACCAUGGAAACCACUGUCAGCUCCGGUGCCCAAAAGACACUUAUGGUCCAAAUUGCCAAGAAACAUGUAAGUGCCUGAACGGAGGUCAGUGUGAGAGCGUGCAUGGCACCUGUACCUGUCCUCCUGGCUUCGUCGGGGCGGACUGCAGUCAAACUUGUCCUGGAGGUAAUUAUGGCCAGGAUUGUGCCCAACGUUGUUCCUGCGGCUCAGGAAAGUGUGACCCAGUGACAGGAAGAUGUCAUUGUCCACCCGGCCUGAUGGGAUCAAGGUGUCAGCAAGGUUGUCCCCAGACAAGAUAUGGCACCAAUUGUGACCUCGAAUGUCUGUGUAAAAAUGGUGGACUCUGCAAUCCUGUGGAUGGGAGCUGCUCCUGUGGCCUUGGGUGGACCGGGGAUUACUGUGAGAAAGGCAAGCUGAUGGCACCUUCUUACCGUCACAAUGUAUACACUUUAGAACUCAUCACUAUGGGUUGCUGAGUAGAGGCCUAUGAAGAAACUAUUUUCCAAUAACCUGUUUAUAAUUAGGAUCACAUUUCCAAUAAAAUUGUACAAAUAUUGAUCAUUAAUCAUUACCUAGUUUCUAGACUAUCACAGGAAAACUCUGAAACAUCUUAAGAAAUUGAAAUAGUAUUGGUGGUAACAAAUUACCCUGAGAACUCAAUUCCACUUUUUACCCUAAAACCCAAAGCCAUUGUAGACAUCAAAUUGGCUGAGCCUAGAGAUUUUAAACAGGGGCCUGAAGAAGACAACACUCACAGAGGACUUAACAAAUGGUUAGAAUACACUGGUCUUUGGGAGUGGAGUGGGUAUGUGUGUCCUGGGACAGGUGGUUCAUGUCUUUAAUCUCAACACUAUGGAGACUGAAGGGGAGCUGGGAUGUAUAGCCCUGGCUGCAUAGCAAAACAUGAAAUAUGAAAUGGCUAUCCCCAUUACUGUUCCACAUUCUAGGGGGUGUUUUGUUGUUAUUCUCAUUUAUUUGUUCUUUCAAAUGAAUGUUAUAAUCAUUUAUUUAGGGAAAACAUGUUUUUGUUGUUUCAUUGUAUUGUGUUUCCUCAGGAAGAAUCACAUUCUUAGGUUAACUCAUUGUAUUCAAGAACAAACAGUUCAUCCUUUGUUCCAUAUUUUAUUCCUUAUCAAUAAAGGUGCUGGCUCUAGCAUUCACAUUAAGAUAUUCAGGUUAAGGAGCAAAUAAUUAAUUUUCUAAUCCAUUCAAUACCUUACUAUAUUUUAGUGAAUUUAUUACAAGGCCUUUCCUCAUCUCUGCAGUUUAUUAUAUGAGUUUUCUCUUUAGUCUGAUAGCAUAUGUGAUGUAAUAUUAAUGAAUUUCUAAUACUAAGUUGCCUUACAUUACAAGAAUAAAUACUGUGUGACCAUGAUUAACUAUUUCAUAAAGUGCUAUUAGAUUCUAUAUACUUUUGUAUUCUAUGAUUUUGGCAUUGAUAUCCAAGAGGAAAAUGGAGCUGCUUUUAUAUGCAACCUUUUCCAGUUUUUAAAAUUGAUGUUCCAUACAUUCAGUAAAAAGUAUUUGGAAAUUUCCUUUCUCUUUCAGUGUUCUGGAAUACUAUACUCUAAGUCUAGAUGGUGCCCUGCCUAGUGAAAGUUUGUAGACUACUCUGUGAAUCUGAAUAGCUCUUUCUUUUUCUCCCUUUUACUCUUAUUCAAAUGUUAAGAACUGUUACUGUACUUAUCUAGGUUUUCUGCGUCAAAUUAAGAUGGUUUGGCGUGUUCUUCUGGUAAUUACGGCCCAGGCUGCAAAUUCAAUUGCUCAUGUCAGAAUGGUGGGAUUUGCAGCAGGCUUUCUGGAGGCUGUGAGUGCCCCAGAGGGUACUACGGACAAAGCUGUGAGCAUG